UCUGUAUUCAUAGAAUGUAAUCCAUAUCUUCGCCUUAACAAGNGUUGGUAAAACUUAUACAACUUUCAACAACGGAUCUCUUGGCUCUCGCAUCGAUGAAGAACGCAGCGAAAUGCGAUAAGUAAUGUGAAUUGCAGAUUUUCAGUGAAUCAUCGAAUCUUUGAACGCACCUUGCGCCCCUUGGUAUUCCGAGGGGCAUGCCUGUUUGAGUGUCAUUAAAUUCUCAACUCCGAUUUGAUUUGUUUCUUAUCGGAGCUUGGACUUUGGAGCGUGCUGGCGUAAGGUCGGCUCCUCUUAAAUGUAUCAGCGGAAUCUAACCUUUGGAUUCUGGACAUCGGUGUGAUAAUAAAAGUUGCGCCGUCGUUCUACUUCAAAGUCCGCUUACAAUGGUCUUUUGACAAACUCUUAUCAAAUUUGACCUCAAAUCAGGUAGGACUACCCGCUGAACUUAAGCAUAUCAAUAAGCGGAGGAA
rnacentral:rRNA from 1 species